rnacentral:miRNA from 1 species
AGUGGGGUGGGACCCAGCUGUU